UUCCAGAGUAUCAAUUGGAGGGCAAGUCUGGUGCCAGCAGCCGCGGUAAUUCCAGCUCCAAUAGCGUAUAUUAAAAUUGUUGCAGUUAAAAAGCUCGUAGUUGAAUUUCUGCUGCAUUGCAUUUGCUCCUUGACGAGUGUCUGUAUUGCGGCUUAUUUCGGAUUAUGCUUGCAUUUUCCGGAUGUUUACUUUGAGAAAAUUAGAGUGCUCAAAGCAGGCUUUUGCCUUGAAUAGUUUAGCAUGGAAUAAUAAAGUAGGACUUUGGUUCUAUUUUGUUGGUUUUAGGUACCAAAGUAAUGGUUAAUAGGAACAGUUGGGGGCAUUCGUAUUUA
rnacentral:rRNA from 1 species